UGUUGGGGGGAGGGCGGUAAUGGGGGGAGGAUGGGGAGGGGAACAGCCAUACAGAAGGGGAGGGGGAGGGGUUAGGGGGAUGUUUGCCCGGAAACCGGGAAAGGGAAUAACACUCGAAAUGUAAAUAAGGAAUACUCACGUUAAUAAAAAAAAAAGUUGUUGUUGUUGUUGUUGGGCCUUGAGGAUGGCUCAGUCAGUAGAAUUCCCACCAUGAGUGUAGUACUUGAAUUCAGAACACUAGCAUCCCCAUAAAAGCUGAGGAGUGGCAUACAUGUAAAAUCAUAGCACUGAACACAGAGAGACAGACAUAGAUCACUAAGCUCAUUGGCCAGUCAGCCCAGACAAAAAUCCAUGAGCUCUGCUUUAAUGAGAGAUGUGUCUCAAAUAUAAGGUGGACAGAAGGACCCAGCAUGAUGGCUCGGGAGUUAAAGGUGCUGGCUACCAAGCCUAAAAUCCCAAGUUUGAUCUCUGGAAGUUGUCCUCUGACCUCCUCAUGUGUACACAUCCACACUAAGUAAAUACAAAUAUUAAGAUGGCAAGCAGUCAAGGAAGUCAGCCAACGCCAAGCCCUGGCCACACACACACACACCCGACUAUGGUCGCAUACCUACACAUGCAUACACCCACAUGUACAUGUAUUUAAAACACACACACACACACACACACACACACACAACACACUCGUGCUUGUGUUUGUGUGUGUGUGUGUGUGUGUGUGUGUGUGUGUGUGUGGUUUCUUUCUCUUUUCCACCAGGAAAAAAAUCAUUGUGUUUGAGAGUAGAUCAGUAUGUCAAGUUUUCUUGAAAUAUUCUUGAAAGCCAUUUUCUGACUGAGAUGUCUAGAGGGCAUAUCUAAAUGGGGCCACCAGGUAAAAAAGCAGGACAGCCUCACACACUUAGGAGGCAUGAGAAGGAAUAAAAUGGAAAGGGGAAAAAAAAUCUUAUUAGGUUUUAUAGGUCAGGGAAAUCCUUUCUAGCCUGGAUUUCUAAACUCUCUGAAUUUUAAUUGAAAGUAUUUCUCCAGGGUAUUUACUUUAACAUGACUGUGCACUCUCAAAAAAAUAUUCCCUAUCCAUAUGAGAAAAAUAUUACAAAUAUUCCAGGAAGACAAGAUUGCAUUAGCAGGAAGAGUUGAUGAUGUGCCCCUUCUGUGUGGGACAGUCACCAUAAAUUGCUGGCAACUAUGGGAUGCCAAGCCUAUGUGGAGCAUCUCUGCAUAUGGGGGCGAGGGUUACAGCGGCCCCCUCCCCCACCAAGGACUCACCAUUUUAAAAUUUAAAAACAGCUCGUUUUUUUAAAAAGAGCAAUAUUCCUCUCAAGAUUUAUGGACAUCUACACCAGAAAAUGUCCCCAAAUUAGUAAAAGGUGAGUUUGAACAGAUUUGGAAAUUAUUGUUAGAAAUGAAUGAAAACUAAUGAAUAAAACUUUAAGCCACUUUUGUUUUCAUUUGGUGUUCAAAUGCAAAGUACUGCUUCUUCUUUUUUACUGUACAUACACACAUUCCAAAAGGCAGACAUUCUCUCUCUUUCUCUCUUUUUUUUUUUUUUUCCGGAGCUCAGGAUCAAACCCAGGGCCUCUACCACUGAGCUAAAUUCCCAACCCCCAAAGGCAGACAUUCUUAAUUGUUCCUUUGUAUCCCAUGUAAAACCAACUGCUAAGUAUUAUUCUCCAUCCUUAAAGAAACCAAUCCAUGUUAACAUUUUUGUCCAUUUUUUUCUUUCUGAAUGUAGGCUCAUUACUUCAAUUUUUAUUGCUAGUUAUUAAUGAGGAUUAUAAUGCCAUACUGGUUUAAAUACUGCCUUUGUCUUUCUGCCUCAAUAUAUGUUUUUAUAUUAUAUAUUUUCAUCUUCAUUGUGUUACCGAAGCACAUAUUUGCCCUGAAGUAUCUGAAGUACGUAAUAUGCAAAAAUCAUUGAAUUGAAAAGAAAGUGAGGUCAGGAGUCAUGAAGAAAUGUCCUUUAGCCUCCCUAUGCUGGAGUUAAUUAGCUCGUGUCUGAUCAUGUAUGCGAAGGAACACACAAUUGAAGUGUGACUUGGCUGUAGAACCUGGUUUCAAAAUGUGCUUUUGUUCGAAAGUCUUUACACCUUAUAGUGCAUUGAAUGGUCUCAAAGCAAACCCACCCGGGUGAGCCAUAGCUUUUACUGGACAGUUUUUUAAGAAGUCUGAGUGGGAAGCUUGGCAAGCUUCCUCUGAGCAGGCAUCCCUGAUUGCCUCUCCCAGCUCUGACUCGCUUUCUACGCAGGUGCCCCAGGGAAAUCUGCUCACUGACAAUACAGCAGAGGCUGCCUCCUUCCUGCUCUAUAGUCCUGCCUGCAGUGGGAGUGAGGUUUCCCUCUCAGAUUCCGAGCUGAAAACCGGGUCUUAGCAUACAAGGAAGCUCAGUACGUUCCUAUUCAGCUAUCCCUGGUCCAGAGCUCAUAGCUAUGGUGUCUCUCUUUCCUCAGUCUCAUUCUGUCCCAAGGAACUUUGCGGCAUCUGAAUCUCAAAAACAACAGUGCACUGACAUAGGCAAGGCUCCACUCACAGCAUGUGGAGCAGAGAGUGCUUUGACCCAGCAUGAAAUGCAAUGCUAGCUGGGAGUCGAAGGAUGAUGGAAGCCAUUCUCUCUUUGAAACCUGCAAGACUAUUCACUUCCCAUGCUAGGGUACAAGUGACACUUUCCAGUAUUCGGCCAAUUGAUUCUAAUUUUAGCUUAAGCACUCUCUUGUUUUUACUCUCCGUUUACAUUCAGACCUAACAACUUCUUCCUUGGUAAGCUCUGAGGCCCAAUUGCAUGUGCCCAGAUUUUACACAUAUGUAGCAUUUCAUGGGAACAAUGAUUGAUUUUCUUUUUUAAUAAAGUCAGCUAGUGUAAUGGUUGACUUGGGAGUAGACAUCCAAUCAGGGUGAAUUUCAGAAUGUUUCUACAAUUUAGCUGAAGAGAUUGGCUCUAGCUGCAUUGAUCUAAUUUUGGGCAUAGCCAGGCUGGGAGCCUGAAGUCGCCAUGUUACAAGAAUGAAGCCAGAGAGGAGCAACAGGAAAUGGUGAGGCAAAGCUAAGAGAUAGACCCACCUACCUUGCUGAAGACUGAAUCAUACUCAUCUAACGUUUCUCCUGUUCUUGUCAUUUUAGUUAUAAGCUCAAUCUUUAGCCUGAGUAACCUUUCAUUGAGUCCUCUGUCACAACUUUUAUAAAAUGAUCUCCUAACAGAUUGCACAGGACAGUUGUUUGUUUGUUUGUUUGUUUGUUUGUUUUUUCCAGAGCUGAGGACUGAACCCAGGGCCUUGUGCUUGCUAGGCAAGCACUCUACCACUGAGCUAAAUCCCCAAUACCUAUACAAGACAGUUUUAUGUCAACUUGAUACAAGCUAGAGUCAUCAGAGAGAAGGGAGCCUCAAUUGAGAAAAUGCCUUCAUUAGAUAUGCUGUAGGCAAGCCUGUAUAGCAUUUUCUUAAUUAGUGGUUGACGGGGGAGGGCCCAGGCAAUUGUGGAUGGUACUGUGUUGUGUAAGAAAGCAGACUGAGCAAUCCAUGAAUGGCAAGCCAGUAAUUAAGCAGCACUCCUCCAUGGCCUCUGCGCCAACUCCUGCAUCCAGGAUCCUGCCCUGCUUCAGUUUCUGUCCUGAGUUCCUUUGAUGAUGAACUGUGACAUGGACGUGUAAGCUGAAAAACUUCUUUCUCUCUAAUAGCUUUGAUCAUGGUGUUUCAACACAGCAAUGGUAGUGCUAACUAAGACAAAUAUCUCUUUUUGCUACAUAUAUUGUAGAAUAAUCCAGUUAUUCACGGUAUUGUUGUAAAUUGAAAAUGUGGUAAUUUACAUACAGGAGCUUUCAAGAGUGCAAACAAAAACGAGAAAGACUGUCAGCAUUCUUCCAUAAAGGUGACAUCCUAUUGAAAUAUUUUUCUUCCCAUCAUGAUUGAAUUUGUCAUACCUUCUUUUGAACUUAAAUUAAUCUCAGGAAAACCUACCACUAAGUGAAUAAGCCUAAAGCCCUACUCUUCUCUAAUACCUCUUACACUAUCUGUUCCCAAAUUCCAACAGAUGUACUGAAAUGUCUCUUUAGUCCAUUCACUUCUUGUCACUACUUUGACCAAAGUUGUCAUUAGUUGUUAUAUGAACUGAUAAACUUGGAUUCCGGUGUGGACCACUGAGGAAAGAAAGGCAGGUUGGGAGUACUGAUUAUUUACUUGCCACGUGACAAAAUAUACCAAACAUAAUGACCCAAAACAAACCAAAAUAGAUUGAGUUAUUCUGUAGUUUCUGUGAGGUUGUGUUUGAGAGUAGCUCAGCUAGAUGGUUCAUUUAGGGUCUCUUGUAGUUAAGGUGCUGGCCAAGGUUGCAGGCAUCAGGGGCUUGGCUAACGCUGGUCUCCUUCCAGUUUGGUUGACUAGAAAAGGCAAGGUAGGGGUCGAGUUCAUGCUGGUUGCUAGCAGGAGGGGCCACUUGUGACAAGGGGUAUCUUUUUGGGAGUCAUUUUCAUGACAUAGCAGCAGCCUUCUCUUACAGUGAGUGGUGUGCAAAAGACUUUAAAGGAGCCACAGCCUCUUCUAAAAACUAACUUUGGAAGACAAAUGCCAUUACUUUCACAGUGUCAUUUGAGGUAUAAUGAUCAGUGCUCUCUGGUGUGAACAGCGGUACCCAGUGGUGAAAACACUAAGAGCUGUGGUCGUCUUGGAAGCUGGCCACAAGAUGCUGAAAACUUCAGUUUGGGGUGUUUGGUUUUGCAUGUAAACACUUAGUGUCAAGGUAGACUCUAAAUCGGGUAACAAGCUAGAUUUAUGAACUAUGGUACAGAUACGCAGUAGGAGUCAUCAAUACAGGGAGGGUUGCUAAAGGCAGUGAUCUCCCAGGCAUAGAGAGGCCUGUGAAAGACAGAACCAAUGAUAUUUAAAGAUGAACAGAGUAAGGAGGGCUGCAUGCAGAAGACAAAAAAUUCAACAAGAGAAAUGGAAGGCCAAGUAAUACCAUCUAAACCCAAGGAGUUCCAGGGGGAAAAUCCCUAAGAUUCCUCUGAACUCUAGAGUUCUCUCAUGUCAGGCAUAACUGUAACUAUUAAUUUUAUUAAGGGAUGGAGACAAUUGAAACAGAAUAGGGGGGAAAAAAACAAAGAGGUCACAGGGAUUUUUCUGUCUAACAGAUUCAUUAAAUUUCUCAUUCUCUUUGAUAGGGCACAGGAUGUAUGCCCAUGCACUUGCCUGUGGAAGUUGGAGAGCUACCUCAACUGCCUUUCCCUAUGGUUUCCCCACCUGACUUCUAGAGCCAGGGUCCCCUCUCUGAACCAGAAUUUCCCAUUUAGGCUUCACUGGCUGGCUGAGAGUUCCAGGGUUCCUUCUGUCCCACUCCCCCACUGGAAUUACAAGUGCAGUCUACUACACCCAACUCAUUCAUGGGUGCUGGAGAUUUGAACUCAGCUAUUCAUGAUUUGUAGAGCAUGCACUUUAUCCACUUGUCUUCUCUCUGUUUUGUCCUUAUAUUUCUUCCAUUUUUUUCCCAGUCACAAAAGACUAAGUUGUCAUCUAAAAUGUCAUACCUGAUAUUUUAGGACAAAAGAAAGAAAGAAAGAAAGAAAGAAAGAAAGAAAGAAAGAAAGAAAGAGAGAAAGAAAGAAAGAGAGAGAGAAAGAAAGAGAGAAAGAAAGAGAGAGAGGGAGAGAGAGGGGGGAGGGAGGGAGGAAGGAAGGGAGGGAGAAAGAAAGAACCCUAUUAAUUUUAUUAAAAGUAAACUAAAAGAAUUGUUUUGUGUUUAUCAACUUAAUGUAUUCGUCAUAGACUAUCAUAGUUUGUAACAAUUUUGCACAAAUUGUGUUUUGGGUUGAUUUUUUUGAUAUUUUGAUAUUUUGAUAUUUUGAUCAUUAUAAUUCCAAGAAUCAAGCUUUAGGCCACAGAAUUCUAUGAAGUAUGAGUAUGAACUACCAUUAAUACAUUUGAAUUUUUUUUAUCUUUUUGUCUUUGAAAACCUUCAGGUUCUGUCUGUAUGACUCAAGAGAUUUGUUUUGUUUUAUUUAGGGCAAUUUUAGCCAAUCUAUUAUCUAUUUAUCCUGCACCUGGCCAAAUACAUUUGCUCUGACCCAUUUCUUAGACAGCUGUUUUCUGUUAACUUUCCAGGGAGAAAAGUACUUGGUCAGCCAAAGAAAAUACUGCAAGUGCCAGCAAGGGAAUCUUGCAUGAUAACUUAGCAAACCGAUUCUAUUUUGACCCUCUUCAUUCUGUUUCAGAGCAUUCAAAUUCAAGUCCCUUCAGGUUGGACUGAAUGAGGAGGAAAAUAUCCAAACUUUACAUUAACCCAUAAAUAACAUUCUUCCCAUACAAAUGAAACCUCCAAAUGGAACUAAAGCCUGCACUUCCAACUAUCUUAAAGCUAAGAUUGGAAGUCCUAAUAUACCCAAUUUUCUGCCCUCUCUUUCCUUCAUUACAGAAUUGGCACAGGAAACUCUCUAAUCCUUGCUGGAAUCCUGCCAUCUCUGGCAGAGAGCAACGGACUCUUCAAUUGUGACACAGUAAAGCAUUUCACAAAGCUGUGGAAGGACAGUUCUGGUGAAAGAAAGCUACUCUCCAGCAGUUUCAGCCCUGACUUAGCUGUUGUAGUCAGGGUGGCCAGAGAGCCACCCCCUUAGGGAAUGCUACAGUUUACAGAUUGAAAUUGUACCUCACCCACAUUCAGGUGGUGAAAACCUACCUUCCAGUGCCUCAGCUGUGACUGUGUUUGGGGGUGGGAAUUUAAAAGAGGCAAUUGAAUUAAAAUGGGGUCAUUACUAUGGACCCUAAACUAGUGACCUUCUCAGACACAGAGGGAAGACUAAGAAGGAAAAAAUGAUUACCUAUAAAUGAGAAACAGAGAGAGAGAGAGAAAGAGAGAAUGCUCAAAAGAAACUAAUCUUGACAAUGCCCUGAACUUAGAUUUCAGCUUCUUGAACUAUGAGAAAAAUUGUUUCUGCAUUGAAUGCAACCAUUCUGUGACAUGUGGUUGUGGUGGCACUUGUACACUCCUUCACUCAGCAACAGUGAUGAGCAGCAGUAGCUCCAUGUCUGUGUUAUUGGGAGGCUGGCUCUUUGAAUCCAGAAACUCAAAUGUAGUAGCCAGUGAGCUCCACGUCUGCACCUCUUGGCUAAUCAGGCUUCUCUUUCUGAGUAGAUGGAGUCUUCCCUCCUUGGUUAUUGGUUAUUUUCUUGGACUCAGUUAUUUUCAAAUCCAUGUACAAGAUAUUAUAACCUAAAUUAGUCCCAGCAGGAAGUAGCUAGAGAGCUAGCUUCUUUCUGUGAACGCACACAUGCAUUAAUAACUGAUAAAUAUUCUAAUAAGUGUUUUAAAGGUCAACAAGAGGCAGAUUCUUGGCAAGGCAAAGAAAUCGUGUACAUAAGCUGUGUGUGUGUGGGGGGGGGUGGAAUUCAGAGCCUGUUUAUGUUUUCCCUUUAGGUCAUGUAUGGAGGCAUGAGGAUUUAUAUGACUCCACCAGGAAUAGUGAACGCCUGUCCUGGACAAGUUGGUAGAGACACUUUUCCCUUUAAUUCAGAGUGUGUGUUUGAGAAAAUUUCCACAAGAAAUGUAUUAAACACAGGAAAUGGAGAGCAUUAACUUAGGAAUUGAAAUAAGGGGGACAAGGUGACUUCUUGGCGUGCAUUACAUUAUCCCACCAUGUCUGUAGGAUUUGGCUUCUCUGGGAUAGCACCAUUCCAUGCAGACUUCCCAGCCUCUCUGAGAAGGAGGGGAUAGAACGGGUGGGGAAGAGCCAACUGACAGAUACUGACACAGGAUUCCCAAGCUGGUCCUGCAUCUGCCACCUAGAGUAGGACUCUAAGUCCUGGUGAGGUGCUCCUCUGAGCAUGCGUCUUAAAGCACACCUGCAUUCUUCUGGAAGGCAUGCACUUGUUCCACUUGCUAAUGCAGUGAGUGUGUGUGUGUGGGGGGGUAGCAUUCAGUGGUUUUACUUCCAUUCCUCCUUAUUUAUAACCAUAAAUACAGGGACAAACUAAGGCAAAGGUCUCCUCCUCUUGGCAUCCAUAGGAAGCAUAUUGGUUCAGCAAAUCUUCCAUUUCACUUCGGUUUAUUCUUCUUUGUGCUAAAUUUAAGUCAAAUUAAAAUCAAUUUUCACUUCUUAAAAUGGUAAGUUUGAGGUGAUCUGCUGUAACGAAGCCCUUUAUCUACCUGAUCUCUCUUAAAAUAGCUUUUUACCUGAGCAAUCGGGGAGUAUGAAUUCUGGGUUGUGGGAUUUACUGCCUCUGUCUCUUUUUUCCUUGUUUCUGCUUUCCCCUUGAACACUUCCAGAGUGCUUAAAGUAGUUUUGUCAUGUAGACAUAUUAUGAUGUAAGAUCUAUAAAGUUAUUUUUCUUUACAAAUCGGACAUCCACAUCUAAGUGAAUUAAUAAACAUAUCUAAGGUUUUUUUUUCCUCUCAUUGGUGAAAGUGAACUUUGCAGUUCAGACCCAGACAAUAAUGUUUGUAUUUUGGGUCAAACUGCCUAUUUUGCCCCGAUGAAUGUGCAUCAUAGUCAACUCCAAGGCUCACUCAGUGCACUGGAGACAGAACACACAUCCCAUACUUCCUAGCAUUCUCUAUGCUAUGAUCCACAGUACCCACUUUACAAGACAACUGGCUAUGUGUGCAAGGUACGCCUCCGUCAUGAAAACCAGUAUUGUCUUUCUAUCUAUCAUAAUGGUUUCCAGAGAACACAAGUCACAAAAUCCUGGCAUACAAAUGCAGAAAUCAUGUUCUAGUUCAGACGUUGCUCUUUCUAGUUGAGGAAACCCAGAGAGAUGAGGUGUCUUCUCACCCGAGGUCAUCAGCAUGCUAAGGACAAAGCCUACUGAACUACGUACAACUGUGCCCUUUGGGUUUCAGCUCACUAUGUUUAUCCCAAGCUUGAGACAUCCCUGGCUUUCAUUUCCUUUGUCCUGGCUUUGGCUUCUAUCUACUGCGUUGUUGUUGUAGUAUUGUCACAUCGUUUCAAGGCAUGAAUGACAAUAGGUCCCGGAUAAAAAUAAGAUCAGAGCACAGAACAGCUCUCCUAACUCCCCAGGCCCAGCUGUGUCUGAAAAAGCAUAAAGACAUGCACUGCAAACAGGACACUACACGCUACUCACAGGCUCUCUUCCCAAGUAGAACAUUCUCAAAGGAUGAUUUUUUAAAAUGUUUUUACAGAUAAGAUAGAGAAAAUGUAUGCGUCUAUUCAACUUUAAAUAAUCAUGGAUAAGUGAGAAUAGAAUUUGUUUUAGAAACCAAUAGAGCACAAAAUUUGAAAAAAAUGAAAGGCGAUACUUAUUUGAAGAGGAGAGAUACUUCUGAAGUUUGAUAUACACUUAACUAGAUGUAAAAGUCUAAAAUAAAAACAGUUGUAAAGAAUGAUUUGAGACAGCUGCUGCGGUAAAUGUGACACCAGAAGAUGCUCAGCCGGUGAGAGGUGGCCUUUUAGGGAAAGGUAAGCAUGCUCAAACUUUUAUCACACUGUACUUUUAUGGAAAUAUGUUACAAUGGAAAGACGCCCAUGUGAAAAAUCAUAAACCUUUGACUACAAAUUGAAGAUCUAUAAUUUAAAAUGUUUUAUGCCUAUAGGAAUCUCUUAUGCAGGCAUGUCUGAGUACCAUGUGCUUGUCUGGUACCCACAGAGCUCAGAAGAGGGUGUGGCAUCCUCUGAGACUGGAGUUACAGCUAUGAACUGUCACGUGACAUAGGUGCUGGGAACCGAACCUGGAUCCUCGGGAACUGCAGAAAGUGCUCUCAAAUACCGUUCCACCACUCCAGCCCCCACUACAGGGAUUUGGAAGAAAAUAUUUACAUGAUGAUUAUGGUGGUACAAAGGAAGUGUACUGAAUCUGAUCAUCAAAACACAACUGCAUAUCAAUAACAUCGAAGGAACAGUAAACUGAGCUUCAAUGUAUAAUAGGGCUCAGAGAACCAGUGGAAGAGGAGAAAGAAGGAGUAUAAGAGCCAGAGGGAUGGGGGACAGCAAGAAAACAAGGCCCUGUAAACCAACGGGACUGAUGUACACAUGAACUUACAGAGACUGAGGCAUCGUGCACAGGGCUUACAUGGGUCUGCACCAGCUGGGGUCCUCUUGCUGCAAGGAGAAGCAGACACAUGCCCCGAGCCCUAACCAGAAGCAUUGAUAACCAGUCGAUGGAUAACCACUUGCAAAUGAAAACUUCGUUUUCUUCAAGGGAGUUGCACUGGGGAAACAAACGACACUGAAGGGUAGGCUGCUUGCACUGCAGUAACGACUCUGAAGGGUAGGCUGCUUGCACUGCAGUAACGACUCUGAAGGGUAGGCUGCUUGCACUUCAGUAACGACUCUGAAGGGUAGACUGCUUGCACUGCAGUAGUUGGUCAAACUCACUGGCAUCCUUGGGGGUUCUUGUCCCAAAAUGUUGUCAGAGCUUUGUUUUUAAUCUUAUUUUAUAUUUAAAUUUUUAUGUGUAUUUUUUCCUCUUUGUACUCCUCAGGUUCUUGGGGUAUAUACAAAGGCUUUCAGUUUCGUGUUACAGGCAACGACUGAGCGUGAGAAUGAGUGGCUCUCUGAUUCUUGUGCCCUCUCUUGGGCUCUUUUACUUGGGCUUGCUUGUUUUGUACUACUGCGAUGUGUUAGUCUUUGUUUUGAUCUAAUUAUAUCUUAUUCUAUUAUUACCACUUGGAAACCUGAUUGUUUUCUAGUGAGAGAGGGAAAGGGGAUGAUCCAGAUGGGAGGGAAGGGAGGUGGAACUGAAAGGAGUAGGGCGGGAACUAUAAUCAGAAUCUAUUAUGCGAGAAAAAAAUUUAUUUUCAAUAAAAGAAAAAACAAAGAGGCUGUAUAUUUGAUGUUGUAAAUCCCUAGAGGGAGAACUGGGCGAAAUCGUGAGCUUCAUGACACUCUAGUGAGGAAUAUAAGCUGUGUCUCGCCACGAUGUUCCUUGUUACUUGAUUUUCCUAUGCAUCUUAGAAGAGCGAUGGUUCAGAGGAAUGACGGUGAAUAUGGUCUAGUCCUUAGCCCUCAACAAAAUCCUCCUUCACCACCAAAACAAAUCCCUUGAAAUAAGUUCCGAGCCGUUCACUAGCCUUUGAGCUGGUCAGCAGUAUAAUCUCUCCCCUAUGGUAUUCCUAUACAAGAAGUUCAUGUGACCAACCUUAACACUGUAUUUGUUUUCAUCUCCACUACAGUAAGUUCGGAUAGUCAAGAGAAGACCUCUUAUCCACCCAGAUGCUGCUCAACUUUGCCAUGUCUCCAAAAGACAACAGUGUUUGAUCUGCCCAACUGAAUUAAUCUGGAAGGAAAAAUGUCCUUCAGAUGAGCUAUUCAGAAACCCUUUCUGUUAGCUAUUGCUGUUUUCCUGUUCAGUUCUUGGGGAGACUUCACAGUUUUAAUUUUCUUCCCCAGACUAAGUUACUCUUGUGUCUUUCAUCCUCUUUCUUCAGAUUAAUUAAUUACAAAUUAAUCUUCUGAUGUGGAUAUGUGCUUCUUCUCUGUUGCAUGUGUCUUCCUCUGAGUUAGGAACACAGGAAAGUAGCUAUGAUGCGAAUAAUGUUCUAAUCACUGAGCAGUAUACACUGAUCACCACGAGUCACAGAGGGGUGAGUGGAUGCUCAGACACAAUUAGGUCCUUCACCUUUGCUCAGGGAAAUGACAAUUUUCCUUUAGUACAUGUGCAUGUAGUUACAUCUUCAUAGACAUAUUUUUCUUGCAUUCAUUACUUAAAAAGAAAUGAAGAUGGUUAAUAUUCUCAGACUUUGUCCUUUGUUAUUUUUUACAAAGGAAAAUGGGUACCCCCACAUCACUAAUAUUCCGAGCAUAUGUUUCCUCCCCCUGCUGGGUGAUCCACACCGGGUUUGCUUUUGAGUCAGGAGAUGUCUUUGACUUUUGGCUACAGGGUGGAGAUGCUGGAAUAACACUGUGGACACUUUUGUGUGUUCAUUGUGAGCAAAUCCCCCACCCCCAUCCCUUUCCUAACCAGAUGUCAAAUGGGUCAUGUCUGAAAACACAGUUCAGAUUUCUUUAUUACAGAUUAUUCAUUUUAUCUGUAUAUAUCUUUAGCUGAAAUUAUCCUGGGGAACCUUUGUGUUGGAAGCACAAAAUGAUAUGAAAAGUCAAGGUGCAUUUUUUUUAAAGCAAACCUAAAAGCUGAAGGUAGGUGUUGAAAGCAGAAAAAUCAUUCCUUGAACUCCCCAGGAGUUGAUCAAAGAGGCAGCCAUAAAUUGCAACAGAAGCAGAGAUCCACUCUGCUCUGAAAGCCAGCCAGCAACAUUGGAAAUGUUUUCCUAUUUAUUCCAUUAAUUCUGUGAUAGCAAUCUCUACUGACAAGAUUUGCAAAUCUAAUCAUUUAUUAAUGAAACCUGUCUGGUGGAUUGUACCCAAGAUCCUCCUGAGGUCCCAGCCUCUAUGUGACCACAGCCCUUUGCUAGCUACAAGCUUAUUGUCUUGACAGAACGUGACAUUGGAAUUUCUGAAACUGUCAGGAGAGAGCCAACUCAGUUGUAGCUUAUGACUAUAUUCAAAGAUGGCCGCCAGGCACAGCCUUGCUCCAAGGACCAGCCUACUGGCCAGUUUUCAGGAUCCACACAGCAAGCAUUGUUUCUUCUGUCUGCAGAGAACAUUCUCUGUGAAUCCCAGCCCAACAUGUGUGGUUUUAGGUUUUGUUGCAGACAGGAAUGAAGAAUUGGACCUGUUUUUGCAUUAUUGUUAACUCACCCUGACAAAGAUAAGGUUGACCCGACUCUUGACUAAGACAUUGAUUUUUUUUCCUAGAAAUUUCUCUGUGGUUUCAGAUACUUCCAAAAUAUCACCCCGUUUCCUUGGCGACCAUCUAAGCUUUAUUCCCUAUGAACCGACAUGGCUUGAUUCAUCAGUGAACAGCCAGCAGCAGCCACACAAUUUACACGCUUCCUAAAGAUUUCCUGGAAAGAAAUCCCUGCCCUGAGCUCUUUCAAGGGCUCUGUUUUUGAUGUCUCACAGAGCAUAGCUAAAAGUGAUAAUAAUAAUAAUAAUAAUAGUAAUAGUAACAAGAAUAACAACAACAACAUCCUGUAACAAGUCCACAAGGAACAGCAAUGUUGAUGGAGAUAAUGAAAUGCAGAAAUGAAAACCCCUUACCAAAGCUCCCUCACAUGUGCCUAAGCUCUGUUCAUUAAUCUGUGAUAAUUAGGCUCUUUUUUGCAGAGGUUAACAGCAGUGGCCCAUGGUAAUUAAGAAUUCUAUCACUACCAAAGGGAUUGAAAUGCUUCUAGUGUGACACCUGUCCAGCUUUUAGUACAUGUUAUGUUUACUUUAAGUAUGGAUUUCCUAUGUAAGAAGUAUGUCUGUCUGUGUGGGGUAUGUGUGUGUACAGAGAGAGAGGGAGGGAGGGAGAGACACCUAUGAUCUUAUAUUACUUUCUUCAAUGAGAGUUAACAAAGUUUUUUAAUUGUAAUCUAAAUAAAAGAGUAACCUAUUGCUUGGAUCAUCAA